AGGAUGCUUUUGGCGAGGUGCCUUCCGAGUUCCCUGGAACGGGACGCCACAGAGGGUGAGAGCCCCGUCUGGUUGGAUACCGAGCCUCUGUAAAGCUCCUUCGACGAGUCGAGUAGUUUGGGAAUGCUGCUCUAAAUGGGAGGUAUAUGUCUUCUAAAGCUAAAUACCGGCCAGAGACCGAUAGCGCACAAGUAGAGUGAUCGAAAGAUGAAAAGCACUUUGAAAAGAGGGUUAAAUAGUACGUGAAAUUGUUGAAAGGGAAGCGCUUAUGACCAGACUUGGGCCCGGUGAAUCAUCCAGCGUUCUCGCUGGUGCACUUUGCCGGGCUCAGGCCAGCAUCAGUUUGCCCCGGGGGAUAAAGGCUUUGGGAAUGUGGCUCUUUCGGGAGUGUUAUAGCCCACUGCACAAUACCCUGAGGCGGACUGAGGUUCGCGC
rnacentral:rRNA from 1 species